rnacentral:rRNA from 1 species
AACGAACGCUGGCGGCAUGCCUAACACAUGCAAGUCGAAUGAGACCUUCGGGUCUAGUGGCGCACGGGUGCGUAACGCGUGGGAACCUGCCCUUAGGUUCGGAAUAACUCCCCGAAAGGGGUGCUAAUACCGGAUAAUGUCUUCGGACCAAAGAUUUAUCGCCUUUGGAUGGGCCCGCGUUGGAUUAGCUAGUUGGUAGGGUAAAAGCCUACCAAGGCGACGAUCCAUAGCUGGUCUGAGAGGAUGAUCAGCCACACUGGGACUGAGACACGGCCCAGACUCCUACGGGAGGCAGCAGUGGGGAAUAUUGGACAAUGGGCGAAAGCCUGAUCCAGCAAUGCCGCGUGAGUGAUGAAGGCCUUAGGGUUGUAAAGCUCUUUUACCCGGGAUGAUAAUGACAGUACCGGGAGAAUAAGCUCCGGCUAACUCCGU